GGGGAUGUAGCUCAGUGGUAGAGUGAUUGCCUAGCAUGUGUGAGGUCCUAGGUUCAAUUCCCAGCAUCACAC
rnacentral:tRNA from 1 species